UCUCUGGUUCUCAGUUUAUUUUGGAGAGAAAAGAGCGAAACGAAGGAGAAAGAAAGAGGAGGGGGUUCGAUCUAUAUAUGCAAUUGACGCGAAGCUCAUUGAUUGUUCUCCGGAGUAGAUUGAUUAUUAUUGUUGAAGAUCGCACAUCACCGAUUCGGCAUAAGAUCGAAAUCGAAUCGACUUUCUUAUUAUGAGAUUCAAUCUCCAAUAACUUUCUCGACUGAAGAGAUGAAGGGAGCAAAACCGAGAAGAGAUGGAGAAGAGAGAGGGUUCGAAUGAGCAAAACCGCAGGAGAAGGGUUUCAAUCUCUCUUGAUAUUGCAUUCUCCACCCAAUGUUUUCUUUGAAUUCGAAGCUUGGGGACUACUCAACUACUGGUUUGUUCAUUUUAGAUUGGAACAUCAUACA